UCGUGUGGAUCUGGAUGUCAAUGGGAGCUGCUGCAGCACUUGACAGCACUGGAGUCAUUGGAAAUCAAGAGCUGCGAUGGCCUAAACGAGCUGCCAGAGAGCAUGCGUAGCCUCGUAUCCCUCCGAACCCUGAAGAUUUCAUCAUGCUCUGCUCUCUGUAUGCUUCCCGAGUGGCUGGGGGAGCUUCGUUAUCUGGAAAGUAUGGUCAUUAGUGAGUGCGGCAGUUUGAGGCCUGCACCAUCAGUGCAGCCGCUCAGGGCCCUCAAAGAACUGCGUAUUAUUCAGAGUGGGUGGGUGGGGGACCUCUGCUCUCCGUCUCUCACAAAUCUGCAAAUAUUGGGAAGUAGUCGUGAUGUUCACCAGCUGCCAGAAUGUCUCGGAGAACUCGGCUCUCUACAAAUGCUCCGCAUCAAGGAAUUACCCAGGCUGAAUAGCCUUCCACAAUCUUUGGGGUACCUCACCUCUCUCCAGAAGCUCGAAAUAGGAUACUGCGAUGCACUUGGCCAAAUACCUGAUUGUGUUGGGGAACUUCGUUCUCUACGCGUAUUCAAGAUUUUAUGUUUGCGGAGCCUGACGUGUGACGUGCCUUCCCCAAUCAUUGGGGCGCCUCACCUCCCUCCAGGAGCUCGAAAUAACAGGCUGCCAGGCACUUGGCCAACUGCCCGAAUCGCUGGGUGAACUCCACUCAUCCACUGUCUAAGGAAAUUCCUGAUAUGGGACUUGCCUGGCGUGACUUCAGUUCCUGAAUCCAUGCGCUGCCUCACCUCACUUGAACAGCUUACGAUCUCUCACUGCCCGGGCAUCAAGUCCUUGCCAGAGUGGAUUAAAGGCCUCACUGCUCUGCAGACACUGGAGAUCUAUUGCUGCCCUGAUCUGGAGAGGCGCUGCGAGAGAAGGAAGGGGAAGGACUGGCACCUCAUCUCCCACAUCCAUCAUCUGUGGAUUAGGAACGAGAUGUACUUGCACCGAGAGUUUUGAGGUAUUAUUCUAUAUUUCCAAACGCCAUUGUUGUUACUUCUCAAGCCUGCAUACCAACAGCAUCAACUGAUUGCAGCAAACAAAAAGGUACACCAGACGUCUCUAUAUUGAUUCAUUUGAUUGUGGAAGUGGUCAAAAUAGAGUGUCAGGCCGUUCCUAAUGAUGCAAGGUACAUGUACAGGGAUAACUCUGAACUCCUAAAGUGCUAUGGAAAUGCUUCGAAGUGUUUUGUUGAAAAAAUUCUGCUGCUAUUAAAUGCUUCAGUUGUGUAUUACUAGUUGUUAGAGUCUCUGUUAUUUUGCAGCUGAAUUUUGGCUGAGUACCCGAAGUCUGCAUUGAGAAAAGCAAGCUCUAAAGCUAUUUUUUUGUGUGUUUAGGAAAAGAUUACUGUGCAGUUCGAUUCUGCAAGUAUCACGUGCGAGCAGUUAAAACUGUUUUUUUACUUGAGUCUAUGUCUAUGUGAUGUGAGAAAUUUUGGUCGACAAGUCAGCAGAUUUAUAUAUCAAAGCAUCACCUUUGUCCGAACAGGGGAUGGGAGAGGAAUUGACUUCUAGAAUGAUUGCUUCUGGGCAGGGGAAGAGACAAUUGCUGCUAGAUUUCCUUGUCUCUUUUGCCAUGCAACAAACAUGGCAACCAGCUGAGGAAGGUGCUGCUAUUAAUAUGAUUUAGUUUUGUGCUACUAGUUGUUAGAGUCUGUUAUUUUGUAGAAAGCUAAGCACCCAAAAUUGACAUAGAGAAGAGCACUCUGUGAAGCUACCUUUUUUUCAACGUGACCUGUAGCUACUUAAUUAAAAAAUAAUAAUCAGUUAUCAUGUUCAUGACAAUUGU